rnacentral:rRNA from 1 species
UGCCUGUUGUAUUAAUAACAGGUCCAUCCUGCCCAGUGGUUUAUUUCAACGGCCGCGGUACCCUGACCGUGCAAAGGUAGCAUAAUCAUUUGCCUUUUAAUUGGAGGCUAGUAUGAACGGACAAACGAAGGCUGUGCUGUCUCAUGGAAACUAAAAUAAACUGGUAAUCAGGUGAAGAAACCUGAAUAAUAAUAAAGGACAAGAAGACCCUAUUGAGCUUUACUACUAACAGUCUCUAAACAUUUUUAAUAUUUUAAGCCAAUUCUAGUAGUUUGGUUGGGGCGACCCUUGAUCAUUAAAAACAUCUUAUCUUUAUGCGAACCGCCGUUCUAAAUAACCCGCAUGGAAUUUGAACUAGCUACCAUAGGGAUAACAGGCUAAUCUUACUAGAGAGCUCAAAUUGACAGUAAGGGUUGGCACCUCGAUGUUGGCUUAGUGUAUCCCUUAAGUGCAACAGCUUAAAAUGGUCGGUUUGUUCAACCGUUAAAACACU